AUUAUGGCUCAGGAUGAACGCUGGCGGCGCGCUUAAUACAUGCAAGUCGAACGAAGCACUUUGACAGAUCCCCUCGGGGUGAAGAUGAUUGUGACUUAGUGGCGGACGGGUGAGUAACGCGUGGGGAACCUGCCUCGUGCUGGGGGAUAAUAGUUAGAAAUGACUGCUAAUACCGCAUAAGCGCACAGUAAGGCAUCUUACAGUGUGAAAAGAUUUAUCGGCAUGAGAUGGACCCGCGUCUGAUUAGGUAGUUGGCGGGGUAACGGCCCACCAAGCCCGCGAUCAGUAGCCGACUUGAGAGAGUGAUCGGCCACAUUGGGACUGAGACACGGCCCAGACUCCUACGGGAGGCAGCAAUAGGGAAUAUUGCACAAUGGGGGAAACCCUGAUGCAAGCGACGCCGCGUGAGUGAUGAAGUAUUUCGGUACGUAAAACUCUAUCAGCAGGGAAGAUAAUGACGGUACCUGACUAAGAAGCCCCGGCUAACUACGUGCCAGCCGCAGC
rnacentral:rRNA from 1 species